rnacentral:rRNA from 1 species
ACGGAGGGUGCAAGCGUUGUUCGGAAUCACUGGGCGUAAAGGGCGCGCAGGCGGUUUGGUAAGUCAGAUGUGAAAGCCCACGGCUUAACCGCGGAAGUGCAAUUGAAACUGCCAGACUUGAGUUCCAGAGGGGAAAGUGGAAUUCCCAGUGUAGAGGUGAAAUUCGUAGAUAUCAGGAGGAAUACCGAUUGCGAAGGCGACUUUCUGGCUGGAUACUGACGCUGAGGCGCGAAAGCGUGGGGAGCGAACAG